rnacentral:rRNA from 1 species
AACGUACGCUGGCGGCACGCCUAACACAUGCAAGUCGAACGAAGUAGCAAUACUUAGUGGCAGACGGGUGAGUAACAUGUGGGUAUCUGCCCUUUGGCCUGGAAUAACACGAGGAAACUUGUGCUAAUACCGGAUAAGUCUUUACGGAGAAAGCUUUAUGCACCAUUGGAUGAGCCCGCACUUGAUUAGUUUGUUGGUGGGGUAAUGGCCUACCAAGACUGUGAUCAAUAGCUGAUUUGAGAGGAUGAUCAGCCACAUUGGGACUGAGACACGGCCCAAACUCCUACGGGAGGCAGCAGUGGGGAAUCUUGCACAAUGGAGGAAACUCUGAUGCAGCGAUGCCGCGUGAGUGAAGAAGGCCCUUGGGUUGUAAAGCUCUUUCGUCGGGGAAGAAAAUGACUGUACCCGAAUAAGAAGGUCCGGCUAACUUCGUGCCAGCAGCCGCGGUAAUACGAAGGGACCUAGCGUAGUUCGGAAUUACUGGGCUUAAAGAGUUCGUAGGUGGUUGAAAAAGUUGGUGGUGAAAUCCCAGAGCUUAACUCUGGAACUGCCAUCAAAACUUUUCAGCUAGAGUAUGAUAGAGGAAAGCAGAAUUUCUAGUGUAGAGGUGAAAUUCGUAGAUAUUAGAAAGAAUACCAAUUGCGAAGGCAGCUUUCUGGAUCAUUACUGACACUGAGGAACGAAAGCAUGGGUAGCGAAGAGGAUUAGAUACCCUCGUAGUCCAUGCCGUAAACGAUGUGUGUUAGACGUUGGAAAUUUAUUUUCAGUGUCGCAGCGAAAGCGAUAAACACACCGCCUGGGGAGUACGACCGCAAGGUUAAAACUCAAAUGAAUUGACGGGGACCCGCACAAGUAGUGGAGCAUGUGGUUUAAUUCGAAGAUACGCGCAGAACCUUACCAACACUUGACAUGUUCGUCGCGACUCUAAGAGAUUAGAGUUUUCGGUUCGGCCGGACGAAACACAGGUGCUGCAUGGCUGUCGUCAGCUCGUGUCGUGAGAUGUUGGGUUAAGUCCCGCAACGAGCGCAACCCUCACUUUUAGUUGCCAUCAUUAAGUUGGGCACUCUGAAAGAACUGCCAGUGAUAAGCUGGAGGAAGGUGGGGAUGACGUCAAGUCCUCAUGGCCCUUACGUGUUGGGCUACACACGUGCUACAAUGGUAUCUACAACAGGAAGCAAGACUGCGAGGUCAAGCAAAUCCUUAAAAGAUACCUCAGUUCGGAUUGCACUCUGCAACUCGAGUGCAUGAAGCUGGAAUUACUAGUAAUCGUGGAUCAGCGUGCCACGGUGAAUGCGUUCCCGGGUCU